UACGGAGGGUGCAAGCGUUGUCCGGAUUUAUUGGGUUUAAAGGGUGCGUAGGCGGUUUAUUAAGUCAGUGGUGAAAGACGGUCGCUCAACGAUUGCAGUGCCAUUGAUACUGGUAGACUUGAGUGUGAUUGAGGUAGCUGGAAUGGAUAGUGUAGCGGUGAAAUGCAUAGAUAUUAUCCAGAACACCAAUUGCGAAGGCAGGUUACUAAGUCACAACUGACGCUGAUGCACGAAAGUGUGGGUAUCAAACAGG
rnacentral:rRNA from 1 species